rnacentral:rRNA from 1 species
GACGAACGCUGGCGGCGUGCUUAACACAUGCAAGUCGAACGGAAAGGCCCUGCUUUUGUGGGGUGCUCGAGUGGCGAACGGGUGAGUAACACGUGAGUAACCUGCCCUUGACUUUGGGAUAACUUCAGGAAACUGGGGCUAAUACCGGAUAGGAGCUCCUGCUGCAUGGUGGGGGUUGGAAAGUUUCGGCGGUUGGGGAUGGACUCGCGGCUUAUCAGCUUGUUGGUGGGGUAGUGGCUUACCAAGGCUUUGACGGGUAGCCGGCCUGAGAGGGUGACCGGCCACAUUGGGACUGAGAUACGGCCCAGACUCCUACGGGAGGCAGCAGUGGGGAAUAUUGCACAAUGGGCGGAAGCCUGAUGCAGCAACGCCGCGUGCGGGAUGACGGCCUUCGGGUUGUAAACCGCUUUCGCCUGUGACGAAGCGUGAGUGACGGUAAUGGGUAAAGAAGCACCGGCUAACUACGUGCCAGCAGCCGCGGUGAUACGUAGGGUGCGAGCGUUGUCCGGAUUUAUUGGGCGUAAAGGGCUCGUAGGUGGUUGAUCGCGUCGGAAGUGUAAUCUUGGGGCUUAACCCUGAGCGUGCUUUCGAUACGGGUUGACUUGAGGAAGGUAGGGGAGAAUGGAAUUCCUGGUGGAGCGGUGGAAUGCGCAGAUAUCAGGAGGAACACCAGUGGCGAAGGCGGUUCUCUGGGCCUUUCCUGACGCUGAGGAGCGAAGCGUGGGGAGCGAACAGGCUUAGAUACCCUGGUAGUCCACGCUGUAAACGGUGGGUACUAGGUGUGGGGUCCAUUCCACGGGUUCCGUGCCGUAGCUAACGCUUUAAGUACCCCGCCUGGGGAGUACGGCCGCAAGGCUAAAACUCAAAGGAAUUGACGGGGCCCCGCACAAGCGGCGGAGCAUGCGGAUUAAUUCGAUGCAACGCGUAGAACCUUACCUGGGUUUGACAUGGGUCGGGAGUGCUCAGAGAUGGGUGUGCCUCUUUUGGGGUCGGUUCACAGGUGGUGCAUGCCUGUCGUCAGCUCGUGUCGUGAGAUGUUGGGUUAAGUCCCGCAACGAGCGCAACCCUUGUUCACUGUUGCCAGCACGUUAUGGUGGGGACUCAGUGGAGACCGCCGGGGUCAACUCGGAGGAAGGUGGGGAUGACGUCAAGUCCUCAUGCCCCUUAUGUCCAGGGCUUCACGCAUGCUACAAUGGCUGGUACAGAGAGUGGCGAGCCUGUGAGGGUGAGCGAAUCUCGGAAAGCCGGUCUCAGUUCGGAUUGGGGUCUGCAACUCGACCUCAUGAAGUCGGAGUCGCUAGUAAUCGCAGAUCAGCAACGCUGCGGUGAAUAAAUUCCCGGG